rnacentral:rRNA from 1 species
AUUGAACGCUGGCGGCAGGCCUAACACAUGCAAGUCGAACGAGUGGCGGACGGGUGAGUAAUGUCUGGGAAACUGCCUGAUGGAGGGGGAUAACUACUGGAAACGGUAGCUAAUACCGCAUACCAUCGGAUGUGCCCCGAUGGGAUUGGCUAGUGGGUGGGGUAACGGCUCACCUAGGCGACGAUCCCUAGCUGGUCUGAGAGGAUGACCAGCCACCUUGGAACUGAGCCACGGUCCAGACUCCUACGGGAGGCAGCAGUGGGGAAUAGUGCACAAUGGGGGCAAGCCUGAUGCAGCCAGGCCGAGUGUAUGAAGAAGGCCUUGGGGUUGUAAAGUACUUUCAGCGGGGAGGCGUUAGCCGCAGAAGAAGCACCGGCUAACUACGUGCCAGCAGCCGCGGUAAUUC